GCAAGAUGAAAAGAUUCAUUAAUUAAUCCAAACCAAUUUACAAUAAUCUUGUACUGAACCCAUAACCCAGAAUGCUUUAAAAAACUGACCCCUUCUACAGAUUCAUCUCUCACAAAGCUAAAAACUCAUAAUCUCACACUAAUUGGAGAAGAGUUUGUUGCACUCACUUUCCGGGAACAAAGUUUGUGGCAAAAGCCCAGGCGUUGUUGUUAACUGGGUCAGCAAUGUGGUCGGCAAGGUUCUCCAACGGACCCUUUCCGGUGACAAUAGCUUGAACAAAGAAUCCAAACAUGGAGAACAUAGCAAGUCUACCAUUCUUGAUCUCCUUCACCUUGAGCUCAGCAAAAGCCUCUGGGUCUUCAGCAAGGCCCAAUGGGUCAAAGCUACCACCAGGGUAAAGUGGAUCAACAACCUCACCAAGAGGCCCACCAGCAAUACGGUAACCCUCAACGGCUCCCAUCAACACAACUUGGCAAGCCCAAAUAGCCAAAAUGCUUUGUGCAUGAACCAAACUAGGGUUUCCCAAGUAGUCAAGUCCGCCCUCGCUGAAAAUUUGAGAUCCAGCUUUGAACCAUACAGCUUCACCAAACUUAACACCGUUACGUGCCAAAAGCUCGGGGAAAACACAUCCAAGAGCACCAAGCAUGGCCCAUCUGCAAUGAAUAACCUCCAACUCACGGUUCUUAGCGAAUGUUUCAGGGUCAGCUGAAAGCCCAGCAGUGUCCCAUCCGUAAUCACCAGGGAACUCACCAGUCAAAUAGCUUGGUGAUUCACCAGAGAAUGGGCCCAAGUACUUAACACGGUCAGGACCAUACCAUGGGCUACCAGAGGAAGCUGGCUUGGGCUUGGCAGCAGUCUUCCUCAUUGUAAUUCUCCCAUUUCCACUGAUUUCAGAAGAAGAUGGUGCGAGUUUCACCGUCUUUCCGGCGAAGGUAGAGGAGGAAAGAGCCAUUGUAGAAGCAGCCAUGGUUUAAUUUUAAUAAAUAAAAAGAAAUGAAUUGUGUUUUGAUGGUUGUUGUUAUGUUUCAAUUUUGUGAUUAAUAACACUAUUUAUAAGAGGGAAUAUGGUUGGUUCUUAUCUUAUCAUAUCUCUAUCUACAAUUUCAUUGGUUUUCAAGAUUUUAUUAGGCACUUGGCAUUUUAUAACCCAUCAAUAUUUUCAAGAUAUUUUUACUAAUGGGGUCCAACAAAUAUGUGGCUAUGAAUAUUGCAAACUUGUCCUCUAUGCUGUCAAGUAAGAUUCUUUAGUCUAGAUAUUUUUCAUCCAAAAGUAUUUCUCUAAGAACUGAACAAUUAAUGCAAGAAAAGUAAAACUUAUAAAUUUUCCAAAGCUAACCAGAUGAAAAGGGGUUGAAUAUGGUGUGGUUAAAGUAAUUAAAAGUAACUUUUUCGUGAUAUAUAAAUUGUUGAACUCUAGAAAAUGUGAAGUUAUAAAUUCAAAAAUCGGUACCAGUUUAUGUGUUACAUUCUAGUAUUGCAUUUUCUUUUCUUUGUAUAAUUUUGUCUCGGGUCGGAGAGGGUUUAUUCAAGCUCUAUCUUUGUUGAUUUUUUUAUGGACAUAUUACAUAUACUUAAAUAUGACUUGAACUUCUCUAUGAGUUUUUCAUGAAAAUGAAGGAUGCAAAAUAUUAACCAAUCUUUUUUAAUUUAAUUCAUUAAGAACCUUACUAAUUUGAAAUGAGAUAUAAUAAUCAAGAAAUUUCCUUUAGUUAAAUGCAGCUUCAUGAAGAACCUAUACAUAUGUAUUAUAAAUUGAAAUAUCAUUGUCAAUUUGCCACUCAUACAAAUUAGUGGUCCUAUUUUACACACAAGUGUCUGAACUAUUGCAUGGCCAUGAGUUAUUUUUAUGUUUUUGGUCAAGUGGAUAUUAUAUUAUGCUUUUGUAGCAUGUAAACUUAAACUACAAAUUCCAUAUUAUUCUAAAAAUGUUUACUUGUAAAUAUCUUUAAAUGACCUUAUUGUAUAAAAAAUUCUUUAUAAUAGUAACAAUAUAUACAACUUAAUUUCUUAAAAUGAUUUGAUUAUUAACAAUAUAAGAGUACACUUAGAAUAGAGGUUUUUAAUAUGCAUAAAAUGAUAAAAUUUUCUAACUGUUCAGUGUUCGAUAUUCCAAGAAAAAUAAUAGUGAAACAACUAUUAAACAGCUAUCAUAUAAUAUGUACAAAAGUGUAUAUUUUAUACCAAAUAUACAUAUAUUACAAUUAUACUAUGCAUAACAUAUACUCUAUACGUAGAUGUAUAUUUCAUUCAUGUUGCUAAAUUAGCAGAAUAGUACAUAUCCAUAAUGUUUCGCACAAUAUUCUUGUAUAAACAACAAUAUACUCCGUGAAAUUUCACUAUUCUAUCCGCUUAGUAUAUGGCUUUAUAGUAUACUAAAGUUUCCUCUUAAUUUAACUCCAUGAAAGAAAACAAUUACAAAACGUUUAGUUUUCUUAUUAUUCUCAUGUUUUUCAAAUUGACUAUUAGAGUAUUGAUCGUCCUAACAUUUAUGAUACUCACAAGCAUAACUUUAGUAACAUUAUAUUGUUCAUAAGUUCUGUCGAAUUAGUGACAAAAUAAUUUAUACGUAUCGUUUAAUUGUUUUUUACCAUCUUUUUUUAAAUUAUUACCUCUAGUAUCUCACAC
rnacentral:lncRNA from 1 species